rnacentral:lncRNA from 1 species
CGGACCCGCGCUCUCUGCAACUCGGGCCGCGCUCUCGGGUGUGUGCGGCACGCGGAUCCCAACCAGCCGGGAGUGCUGAAUUAAAAUGUGAACAUUUGUGUUGUUGGCCCAGGACCGUCUCUCUCAUCUUACCUGACUACUCCACCCGGAACCAGCCUACUCCUGGGCCUCCUCCUGACCUCCUAGCGGCUGCCACCUCCAGAAGUCCUUCCACCCACCCACCCAGCCCACUCUUUCUCCAGCUUGUCUCAACAUCUUGUCUCCUGAGCACCUGUCACCUUGUUCCUGACCCCUCUACUUACCUAGGAGAGCC